rnacentral:rRNA from 1 species
CCUACGGGGGGCAGCAGUGAGGAAUAUUGGUCAAUGGCCGGAAGGCUGAACCAGCCAUGCCGCGUGAAGGUCAGUGCCCUAUGGGCGUUAAACUUCUUUUGUGCGGGAGCAAUAAUGGUCACGUGUGGCCAGACGAGAGUACCGUACGCAUAAGCAUCGGCUAACUCCGUGCAAGCAGCCGCGGUAAUCCGGGGGAUGCAAGCGUUAUCCGGAUUUAUUGGGUUUAAGGGGUGCGUAGGCUGUGAGGUAAGUCAGCGGUGAAAUGCCCCAGCUCAACGGGGUGAAGUGACAUUGAUACUGCCUUGCUGGAAUGCGGAUGCCGUGGGAGGAAUGUGUGGUGUAGCGGUGAAAGGCAUAGAUAUCACACAGAACACCGAUUGCGAAGGCAUCUCACGAAUCCGCGAUUGACGCUGAUGCACGAAAGCGUGGGUAUCAAACAGGAUUAGAUACCCCAGUAGUC